UACGGGAGGAGCAGUGGGGAAUAUUGCACAAUGGGCGCAAGCCUGAUGCAGCCAUGCCGCGUGUAUGAAGAAGGCCUUCGGGUUGUAAAGUACUUUCAGUCGUGAGGAAGGUGUUAAGGUUAAUAACCUUAGCAAUUGACGUUAGCGACAGAAGAAGCACCGGCUAACUCCGUGCCAGCAGCCGCGGUAAUACGGAGGGUGCGAGCGUUAAUCGGAAUUACUGGGCGUAAAGGGCACGCAGGCGGUUAAUUAAGUUGGAUGUGAAAUCCCCGGGCUUAACCUGGGAAUGGCAUUCAAGACUGGUUAGCUAGAGUCUUGUAGAGGGGGUAGAAUUCCGAUGUGUAGCGGUGAAAUGCGUAGAGAUGUGGAGGAAUACCGGUGGCGAAGGCGGCCCCUGGACAAAGACUGACGCUCAUGUGCGAAAGCGUGGGGAGCAAACAGGGAUUAGAUAC
rnacentral:rRNA from 1 species